UUAUAUUUCUAUGGCAUCAAAGUCAAAAGGCAAUGAAGCUAUACACGCCUACCUAGCUUCCACAAAACAAACAUUUUAUACUCUUACAACUCCCUUUAUAAUUCAAAUGAUUAUCAAGCUUUGUUUUUAGUUUCAUUCUCCUUCAAUUCAAAUUGUUAGUUUCUCGACACAUAGUAGUCCAUUUUCAACCGUCGGAUCGUCGAAAUGAACUUUGAAGUGAGAUAUAUCCAGUGUACACUGUAGCUACGAAUUUAGGCCUAGAGUAUUGUGCUUGGAAGGAAAUCCGCCAAGGUACCAAAGGUGAAAUAUGAGGUGAUGUGUUGCUUGU